CUGCUCUGACUAAGGCUUGGCAUUUAUUGUUGAUUAUGCCUUGAUGGAUAACUAGUUUUAUUACAAUACAGGAAAUACAUCCAACAUUUGAAACACAGAAAAAUGUUCAGAUGUCUAAUUUUCAGAUUGGUAGAUGAGAGCACAGAAAAGGUAUACACACUGAAACCAUGUAUAACAGUUAAUUCAGGAGUUGAUUAUUCACUUUAUAAAAAGACUUCCUGCAGGGUUUUACUGGAAUAAACACUACAUUCAAUUUACAUACAGAAUUAAUUUUCAGAAAUUAAAAUCACACGAAACUAUUUCGAGAGCACUUCCAAAUUACACUUUUGAAUUCUACUUUAACCAUGUGUAUGUAUUUCUCAGUUAUUAAAACUUAUUCAUACUUCAGUAGUAAUGUAUUAAGUUUUAUUGGCUUAAAGACAGUUACCUUGCUAAGAUACAGAACAUAAAGUCUAUAAUUAUAUGGCUUUCAGUGGAAAUAAACACAGGCUAUGAAAAUAGAAUGUGAAUAAAAUGGAACAUCUAAAACUCUGGCAUCUAAAAGGACCUAUGACAUCUCUGAGGAGUCUAGCUUCUGGAGUCAGACUUGCUGGGAUUUGACUUCUGGUUCUGCUGUUCCUAGCUGUGGCACCUGGAUUAAAAAAUGAUUCUAUGUUAAGUGCUGAGAACAGUGUCUGACAGAGAACUCUGGAGUCAUACACAUUUCAGUCAUUCCCUAAGUAACACUUCUGAAUGAGAAAAAUAUGAUUCCAUAACUUUUUAAAAAAAGAAUCACUAGUAACUAUUUUACUAAUGUUGACAAACACGUAGCCCAUCCAUAUUUUCCUCCUAAAGUUUCAGCAGUUGAAAUACUCAUCCAGUUUUACAUCUGAGAUCUGUUUGGGUCUUUCCUCUCCAAACUUCCUGGAGCCUGCUAAGGCCAGUGCAGAAUCGAGCUGGGGCCAGCCAGAGAGGGCAUUUAAGAACUCCAAUUCCACUUUGCCCAGAUGUGUCAGGACAUUGGAAGUGUCAUCAG
rnacentral:lncRNA from 10 species